rnacentral:lncRNA from 1 species
UUCUACACUAAGCAUCAACCAAGAACAGUUUGGCUUCCUGUCUAAUUACUUACAGGAAAGUCAUUUAAUGUGCUCUCUCAUCGACUAAACCUGUUUACCUCUUUUAGGUCUCCUGCUGUCAGUGAUGACCAGAAGUUUCUUCUGCUCCUGAGAGACAGAUACUGGCCAGGAGUGAAAUUGGAAGAGCUAGAAAUACCAUCAGGAAAUAUGAAAAAAAUGGAUUGUCAAGACUCGCCCUCUACUUGCAUGAAUCUCACCAGUAACUUGAAUGGACAAAUAGCUAAAUACACUAAAUGUGUAUCAGCCCUGUUGGACAUUUUGUGUCAGGUUCUGGACACAAAUUCUGGAAGCAGCCCUGCCUUCAAGCCGGGCUCUGAUCCCUCAGCUCGGCCACUCGGA